AUCCACGUUGUCAAAGAUAAUCCUAAAACGAGAACGAGAACGAGAACUGAUGCAGUAACUGGGCAUUCUUCAUCGCUGAUGGGGUCGCCAUGGAUAUCCCAGCGAAUGAAACGGCAUCCUUCUCAUCUCCCUCCUCCAAAUUUAUUUUAGGCUAUUUCAAUUCCACAAUGGGUUCAACUCCAAUUGGUUGACAUCGGCGAAACUCUUUCUCAGAGCCCCAGUUUUGUGUCUACUCGCAGCAGCAGCUAGCCUAGGGAGCAAAGAGGGCAAGUGGAUGGGACAUGUUCAUGUUUAAUUUUUGUUCAAGACUUCCUUGCUUACAGGCACAAACCUUGUACAGAAAUCCAUAUAUAGAAUUCCUUGAUCUUGUUGUGGAUCUAUUCCUUGCAUGUAAAUAGAAAUUUUGUGUGAGUUCCUUGUAGAAAUCAUGUUUAAAUUACCUUCAUUGUAUAGAACUUGUGUAUAAACCACUUCCUUGCAUAGACAUGUAUACACUCAAUGUAACAGUUUGACCAAGAGUUGAACUUGCACACUUGCAGAUAAUAUGUAAUUGCAUUUGAAGGUAAAGAACUUCAAUUCUAGUACAUGUUACAGAAAAACAUUGUAUAAAGAGGAAAUUGGCUGUUUUCAUUA